GAUGAACGCUGGCGGCGUGCCUAAUACAUGCAAGUCGAGCGAAUGGAUUAAGAGCUUGCUCUUAUGAAGUUAGCGGCGGACGGGUGAGUAACACGUGGGUAACCUGCCCAUAAGACUGGGAUAACUCCGGGAAACCGGGGCUAAUACCGGAUAACAUUUUGAACCGCAUGGUUCGAAAUUGAAAGGCGGCUUCGGCUGUCACUUAUGGAUGGACCCGCGUCGCAUUAGCUAGUUGGUGAGGUAACGGCUCACCAAGGCAACGAUGCGUAGCCGACCUGGGAGGGUGGUCGGCCAAACUGGGACUGGGACACGGGCCAGACUCCUACGGGGAGCAGCAGUAGGGAAUCUUCCGCAAAGGACGAAAGUCUGACGGAGCAACGCCGCGUGAGGGAAUAAGGCUUUCGGGUCGUAAAACUCUGUUGUUAGGGAAGAACAAGGGCUAGUUGAAAAAGCUGGCACCUUGACGGUACCUAACCAGAAAGCCACGGCUAACUACGUGCCAGCCGCCGCAGUAA
rnacentral:rRNA from 1 species